UAGAUACAUGAUGAGGUUGCUAGGCUGAGUACAUGAUGAGGUUGCUAGGCUGAGUACAUGAUGAGGUUGCUAGGCUGAGUACAUGAUGAGGUUGCUAGGCUGAGUACAUGAUGAGGUUGCUAGACUAGAUACAUGAUGAGGUUGCUAGACUAGAUACAUGAUGAGGUUGCUAGACUAGAUACAUGAUGAGGUUGCUAGGCUGAGUACAUGAUGAGGUUGCUAGGCUGAGUACAUGAUGAGGUUGCUAGGCUGAGUACAUGAUGAGGUUGCUAGACUAGAUACAUGAUGAGGUUGCUAGGCUAGCAACAUGAAGCUGGUUGCUAACGACUUAAGUAGACGCUGUCAUUUGCCAGCUAGUGUAGAUUAAGCGUUUUAAGACAAGUGGUAAUCCUUAACAAUCAACGUCAUCUCAUGAGGACGACAUCCUCGGUGGUUCCAAUUUCCAGCCCAUUCCCCCAAUUUUCAACCCCAAUGACAGACAACACACGCUUGAAUGGCUGUUCAGCUAAAGAAGGGGAAUUGUGCUGCUGACAGCGGGAUGCCGGCGUCUGGGGAGGCUGAAAGAUGGCAGGCCUUAAUGAACCUUGGUCCGACCUUUGACCUCCUACCCCCGACGACAUCGCCAGCUGAGGACUGCCACAGACAGAGGGUCUGCUUGUGUGCUAUGAGGCAGCAGUGAUUGUCCCCCAUCGGUCCCAGGGUCCCCGCGGUGGAGGCCCACCCUACAGCCAUGCCCCCAGACACAGAGUCUGAUGAGGAGCACAAGGCCACGAAGGCUUACCCUGAAAGCCCAGGGGAACACACACUCACACACACACACACACACAUACACACACACACAGAGAGAGGCAAGCAAGCACAAAUACAUGCACAAAGGCGAGCAGGCACAUGCACAAUCGGCCAGACAUGUACAGUGCGCACAUGAACACGCAAGCAGACAGAUGAACACAAAAGCAGGUGGAUGCACUCAUUCACUGGCACACUUACACACACACUGGCACCGUAUCAAAAACAUAGUAAACCGCGGACCAAACGCAGACCCGCUGGUACUCCCUGGCACAGCAACUCGCUAUCACAUCAGACGUGUAACUGUACUCUCAGAAAUAAACCCUGUACCAAAUCGAUA